GAUGAAGAACGCAGCGAAAUGCGAUAAGUAGUGUGAAUUGCAGAAUUCAGUGAAUCAUAGAAUCUUUGAACGCACAUUGCGCCCUUUGGUAUUCCAAAGGGCAUGCCUGUUCGAGCGUCAUUUGUACCCUCAAGCUUUGCUUGGUGUUGGGCGUCUUGUCUCUAGCUUUGCUGGAGACUCGCCUUAAAGUAAUUGGCAGCCGGCCUACUGGUUUCGGAGCGCAGCACAAGUCGCACUCUCUAUCAGCAAAGGUCUAGCAUCCAUUAAGCCUUUUUUUCAACUUUUGACCUCGGAUCAGGUAGGGAUACCCGCUGAACUUAAGCAUAUCAAUAAGCGGAGGA
rnacentral:misc_RNA from 1 species